GUGGGGAAUCUUAGACAAUGGGCGCAAGCCUGAUCUAGCCAUGCCGCGUGAUCGAUGAAGGCCUUAGGGUUGUAAAGAUCUUUCAGCUGGGAAGAUAAUGACUGUACCAGCAGAAGAAGCCCCGGCUAACUCCGUGCCAGCAGCCGCGGUAAUACGGAGGGGGCUAGCGUUAUUUGGAAUUACUGGGCGUAAAGCGCACGUAGGCGGAUUGGAAAGUCAGAGGUGAAAUCCCAGGGCUCAACCUUGGAACUGCCUUUGAAACUCCCAGUCUUGAGGUCGAGAGAGGUGAGUGGAAGUCCGAGUGUAGAGGUGAAAUUCGUAGAUAUUCGGAGGAACACCAGUGGCGAAGGCGGCUCACUGGCUCGAUACUGACGCUGAGGUGCGAAAGCGUGGGGAGCAAACAGGAUUAGAUACCCUAGUAGUCC
rnacentral:rRNA from 1 species